rnacentral:rRNA from 1 species
GUCAGAGGCCUCGAGCGUUAGGCGGAAUCACUGGGCUUAAAGCGUGUGUAGGCGGGCCCGUAAGUGUCUUGUGAAAUCCCACGGCUCAACCGUGGAACUGCUGGGCAUACUGCGGGUCUUGGGCCAACUAGGGGCAGCCGGAACAAGCGGUGGAGCGGUGAAAUGCGUAGAUAUCGCUUGGAACGCCGAAGGUGAAAACAGGCUGCUGGGGUUGCGCCGACGCUGAGACACGAAAGCCAGGGGAGCAAACGGG